CAGACAUUGAUGAGUGCGAUACCGGAGCACACAACUGUGACGGAACUAAUGGAAUAUGCACAAGUAAUGAUGGGUCGUUUACUUGUUCAUGCAAAUCUGGAUUUGAUGGUGAUGGUGUCACAUGUUCAGACAUAGAUGAAUGCGAUACAGGAGUUGACAAUUGUGACGACACUAAUGGAAUAUGCACAAAUAAUGAUGGGUCAUUUACAUGCUCAUGCGAAACGGGGUUUGAUGGUGAUGGUGUCACAUGUUCAGACAUAGAUGAAUGCGAUACAGGAGCGGAUAAUUGUGACGACACUAAUGGAAUAUGCACAAAUAAUGAUGGGUCAUUUACCUGUUCUUGCAAAACUGGGUUUGAUGGCGAUGGCACAACCUGUUCAGACAUUGAUGAGUGCGAUACAGGAGCACACAACUGUGACGGCACUAAUGGAAUAUGCACACAUAAUGAUGGAUCGUUUACUUGUUCAUGCAAAACUGGAUUUGACGGUGAUGGUGUCACAUGUUCAG
rnacentral:lncRNA from 1 species